rnacentral:rRNA from 1 species
CGUACACUCCUACGGGAGGCAGCAGUGGGGAAUUUUGGACAAUGGGCGAAAGCCUGAUCCAGCCAUGCCGCGUGCAGGAUGAAGGCCUUCGGGUUGUAAACUGCUUUUGUACGGAACGAAACGGCCUUUUCUAAUAAAGAGGGCUAAUGACGGUACCGUAAGAAUAAGCACCGGCUAACUACGUGCCAGCAGCCGCGGUAAUACGUAGGGUGCAAGCGUUAAUCGGAAUUACUGGGCGUAAAGCGUGCGCAGGCGGUUAUGUAAGACAGUUGUGAAAUCCCCGGGCUCAACCUGGGAACUGCAUCUGUGACUGCAUAGCUAGUGUACGGUAGAGGGGGAUGGAAUUCCGCGUGUAGCAGUGAAAUGCGUAGAUAUGCGGAGGAACACCGAUGGCGAAGGCAAUCCCCUGGACCUGUACUGACGCUCAUGCACGAAAGCGUGGGGAGCAAACAGGAUUAGAAACCCCUGUAGUCCCA